ACGCUCGACACCUACGGGUGGCAGCAGUGGGGAAUAUUGCACAAUGGAGGAAACUCUGAUGCAGCGAUGCCGCGUGAGGGAAGAAGGUUUUCGGAUUGUAAACCUCUGUCUUUGGGGACGAUAAUGACGGUACCCAAGGAGGAAGCUCCGGCUAACUACGUGUCAGCAGCCGCGGUAAUCUGAGCGGGCUGGCAAGGC
rnacentral:rRNA from 1 species